AUACGAGGUCCAGAGUCACCUUUUUGGAUAUAAUUACUAAUUCGGUGCUUGGAUAACUCGAAAAUAAAAUUGGUCGUAUUAUGCAAGUAGGGCUUGCUUCUGCGCUCCCCUCCUUCACCUCAUUCCCAUACAUUC
rnacentral:snoRNA from 1 species